rnacentral:rRNA from 1 species
UACGGGGGGGGCAAGCGUUGUUCGGAAUUACUGGGCGUAAAGGGCUCGUAGGCGGCCAACUAAGUCAGACGUGAAAUCCCUCGGCUUAACCGGGGAACUGCGUCUGAUACUGGAUGGCUUGAGAUUGGGAGAGGGAUGCGGAAUUCCAGGUGUAGCGGUGAAAUGCGCAGAUAUCAGGAGGAACACCGGUGGUGUAGACGGCUUUCUGGACCGUAACUGACGCUGAGACACGAAAGCGUGGGUAGCAAACAGG